rnacentral:rRNA from 1 species
CACCAUGGAAGUCGGUAACACCCGAAGUCCGUGAGCUAACCCUCGGGAAGCAGCGGCCGAAGGUGGGAUCGAUGACUGGGGUGAAGUCGUAACAAGGUAGCCGUAGCGGAAGCUGUGGCUGGAUCACCUCCUUU